rnacentral:rRNA from 1 species
GAUGAACGCUGGCGGCGUGCCUAAUACAUGCAAGUCGAGCGAACGGACGAGAAGCUUGCUUCUCUGAUGUUAGCGGCGGACGGGUGAGUAACACGUGGAUAACCUACCUAUAAGACUGGGAUAACUUCGGGAAACCGGAGCUAAUACCGGAUAAUCUUUUGAACCGCAUGGUUCAAAAGUGAAAGACGGUCUUGCUGUCACUUAUAGAUGGAUCCGCGCUGCAUUAGCUAGUUGGUAAGGUAACGGCUUACCAAGGCAACGAUGCAUAGCCGACCUGAGAGGGUGAUCGGCCACACGGGAACGGAGACACGGUCCAGACUCCUACGGGAGGCAGCAGUAGGGAAUCUUCCGCAAUGGGCGAAAGCCUGACGGAGCAACGCCGCGUGAGUGAUGAAGGUCUUCGGAUCGUAAAACUCUGUUAUUAGGGAAGAACAUAUGUGUAAGUAACUGUGCACAUCUUGACGGUACCUAAUCAGAAAGCCACGGCUAACUACGUG